CCUCGUACUGAAAGUUUAAAAACAAUGCGCAAUGUAGUCCACUUUAUCUAGGAUAGCAGGCUUUUAGUCUAUUGCUACUGCUAACUUUAUUCAUCGAAAGCAAGCAAACACAACAUUCGUAGAAACUCUCCAGAAUCUCCUAAAAUUAAAGGAACUUUUGUAUUUAAUGACGGAGACAUGCAACUCCGAAGAUUCAACUCAUUCUGGGAAGCGAGAAAGGCGCAAGGACGAGCUGAAUACUAGUCUUGUACAGGCUGUUUAUGAGGAACAUCCUCAGGAGCUGUGAGAGGUGAUGAAACACCAACCAGAAGUAGGACAUCAGGAUGGAUCAGAGUCCCUUUUCCUAGGAACACCUCCAGGUGUUCUCCUUCUACAGGGCUGCCCCCGGGGUCUGGGUGCUGGUCGGGGCGGGAUCUGUGAAAUUCUUUAUUGAGGGACAUCUACCCAGCAGCUUUCAUCUGGACCAUACCGCUCUCAGGCCACAAGGAAGCUUAAAUUACAGCCUGCCAUGAGUGACACCAUUAGAGAUGGCCAUCAUCAUCAUCAUCAUCAUCAUCAUCAUCAUUACACUCUUUGUCCUUUUGCUCCAAUGAUUUCUGAUGUGCUGUAAUGAUAUGAGCUUUUGCCAGCUGUGAGCCUCUGUAGGGAUCCGAGCAUAAUUCCUUAAUUAAUUCCUUGAUAAUUUUGCUAAUUAUUAAACAAACUGCCAAAAUCUUAACCCAAACGUCAAAAAAAUUAAAGUUUUUCAUUUUAUCUGUGACUUCAAAAUUCACUGGACCCUGUGGAGUCACAAAAAACUAAAUAUGAUUUUCUUUAAAUGAAUGAACUGAUGGUGACAUUGCUUUCUUUCUAAAAUUAUGAAUUUAUUUUGAAAAGUAGAACAAUUUUAAGCCACAAAUGUUUUUCAUUAAACAAUAAACCAACAGUGUCAGGACUGAGAAGAGCUUCUAUGAAUAGUUGGUAUUGAGUGGUUCUCAGACUGGUAGAAAGUACACUCUGAAACAAAAUGGUUCUAUAUAGAACCAAGAAAGAUUCUACACAGAACACAUAUCUCUAUAUACAUAGAGAUACAACUCUAAAAAGUAAUGCCACCUUAAGUCGCCUUACACACACUUUGAGUUAUAGAACCAUUUUGAAAUAAAGGGUACAUUGCUCCUCGGGGGUUCUAGCACUAUAGGUUCCAUUGGCCAAAUUCAGAACCCCAAGGUUCUCUAGGUUCCCUAUUUUUUCAAGUGUACACUGAGUGACAUUCAAUGUAAGUCUAAGUGACCCAUUCUAAUGCGUUUUCAUUAAUACAUAAUAAAUUAUUCUACAGUGCUGAUGAAUUCUGCAUUCUGAUUGGUCAGAAUGUUCUGGUUAAUGCCAUCAUUCUCAUGCUUUAUUGUUUCUAUAGUAACCGUUUACACAGGGACUUGUAUGAUUGAUCCUCCACAGAUUUUUUUUAUGCAGAGAUUUAUUUAGCAUCCAUUGAAAUAGAGUGUUAAAAAAAGACUUUUAUACACAACAAUUUUUCUGGAAAGAGAGUCUAGAGAGUGACUUGAUUGCAGCUGCUGUAGUAUAAAGGAAUUUUUAAAUUAUUAAAUUAUUAUUGUGUAAUAUUAAAAUGUAACUAUAAAUGGAUAAAAAAGUUCGAUUCAACUUUUUGAAUGGCACUUUUAACAAUAUAAAAAUUCAGAAUAUGAAUUACAAAAUUAUUAAUAAACAUUUUAUUCCUAAUGAGCAAGCCAAAGGAAGGAAAAACUCCCUGAGACGACAUCAAAAAUGUAUGUAAUUAUUUCAUAAAUAAAUAAAAUAAAAAUAAAACAAAUGCAUACUGCUGUGGUAGAAGAGGAAUUAAACACUUCAAGACAUGCUGAUGUCAGAAAAUAAUCAACCUCAGGCUGGCAAGAGUAACUAUGCUUUUCUUUGCUGAUUAUUUUCCUGUAACUGCAUGUCUGGUAUAACGUAUAGCUACGUUUCCUCUUCUUUACGAUACAAAAAUAGCAGAGAACAUCAGGAUGGGAUCAAAUGAUUUAACCUACUCAGAACAGCUCUUCUCUCAUCUGUGUGUUGAUGCAAAAACAGCCACCUGACUCACCAGUGUGUGUGUGUGUGUGUGUGUGUGUGUGUGUGUGUGUGUGUGUGUGUGUGUGUAAAAAUGGCUCACAGCAUGAAUCAACAGUUCUGCGUGUGUGUAUAAAAAUGGUCCACAGUGUGAAUCAACAGUUCUGUAUGUGUGUGUGACAGGGAGAGAGAGACAGAGAGAGACAGAGAGAGAGAGAGACAGAGAGAGAGAGAGAGAGAGAGAGAGAGAUGCAGCCGUGGGAACAGCAGGAUAGAAAACGUGGGGAAACAUCAGGAAAUAAAUCACAUAUAGAAAUUCAAUGGCUGGUGUGUGGUGUUUAUUUCCAGGCCAUGGGAUUUCCUGCGGCUCUCCACAGGUGGUGUGUGUUACAGCCUGCAGUCAAGAUGUUCUACCUGCUGUGAUUGUGUUUGCGUGUGUGUGUGUUGGUGACUCCAUGCUAUCACAUAGAGAAAGGUUUCUAGCAACAACAAAUGAAUGAAAAGUAAAUUUGUUAAGGGGUAAAAUCCCGAUGUGUUCCAGUGGCUCAGAGGGUAGCGUUUCUGCCUCACAGCUUCAGGGUCCCAGGAUUAAUACCGGAGCUGAAUUACUGUCUGUGUGGAGUUUCACUCACUUGUUCUCUCUUCGUACAGUUUCUCUGGUUUCCUCCAACCACCAUAAAACAUACCACUAGGUGGACCACCCACUAGGUAAACUGCCCCACUACCUCUCUUUGAUGGACUUGCAUCUCAUCCUGCUUCACACCCUGCAGAUUCGUGAUGACCCGGACCAGGAUAAAACAUUCUUGGAGUGUGUACAGUACAGCAAAUAUCAACCAACACACAUAUUUUAAAUCAGUCUAACACAAAUAUCCUUUUUUUUUUGUAGUGUAUCUUGUAGUGUUAUCUACAUUGUACUUUAUAACAGUAUAUAACAAUAUUAUGUACAUACUUAUUCGUUCAUAUCAGUAUAUCACUGUAUUUCAUAUGCUUUUGACUAUAUUCCAUAUUUCAAUUAUUUAUUUUCUCAGUUAAGCUCAUUUUGUGUUUAUUGUAGAUGUUACUUAUUUCCAUAAAUUUCCUUAUUGUCACUUAUUUCAUUAAAUAUUUUUUUAAAUAUUUUUUUUUAAAUAUAUUUUUAUCUUCAUGUUAAUUCCAUUUCUGACUAUAUUGCUCCAAAAAAUAAUGGCACCCUAUUCCACCAUACACACUCUUUGAAUUAUAGAACCAUUUUAAUAUAAAAGGAUCUACAUCGAACCAAUUUUGGAAGAUGGAAAUUGAUCUCUUGGCCACAUACAGAACCCCAGGUUUCUAUAUAGAACCCAGAGAACUUUUUUUUUUUUUUCUUGCAGCUCCAGCUUCUUCCUGCUCUCCUCCAGCAUGGACAUUUUCAGCAUGGUGGAAAUGUGCAACCACAACAAAAAAGAGCGAAAUAAUUAAAUAACCUGGUAGAAUCAUUAGCAUUUAUAGUUCUAGACUCCCUGCAUUCAGAGAAAAUGGGACAGAAGGUCAUCCAGAGGCUGAACUGCUCACUGUGUUAUUACUGUAAUAAUCUACAAAUGAGAAGGAGGUCUACUUAGAGAAAAUCCACUUUGUUCAAUUACAGACUGUGAUAUUUAUUCUACAACAUAUCCAACAUCACACAUAUACCUGUCAUUAAUCCUGGACUACAUUACCCAUCAGCCCUAGCAAUCACAUCAUCACUCACACCUGUUCUCUGGUACCCCUAAUUACCACCAUACUUAAAUCUGAAGGUCUCAAGGUGAAAAAUUUGUUCAUGUUGUAAUGUUCAUACGUUGUGUUGUGUGCCACAGUAUUGCCCAAAGUCUUUGAUUUUUUGCCUUGUAUCUGUGCUUCAUGGUUGUUUGUUCACAAUGUACUUGCAUUAUCCUUCACCUCCCUAUCAUGACAAUAUAUGCAAUCAGUUUGCAUGAUGUAUCUAUUCAUUACAUUAAAUUAUCUUGACAGAGAGGGAUUAUAGAUUAAAUGAAGAUUAUAGAUUUACCAAAUAGAAUAUCCCGAUAAGACUGAUACUUGGGUAGUAAAUCCUUCAAGAAAAGAUGUCCUGCUCAAAAUUAGCCCUGUUUCAUGUCAUGUAUGAGGAAUUACACGAAGGACAUGUUUUUCCGCAUAUUUUUUUUUUUUUAGAGAGCACGAAUAUUGUUCCUCAUCCUUGCUUUUAUCUCCACACAUUAUUAUGUAAAGUGUUAUUUAUGAAGCAGGCUUUCUGGCACUGGCAGUGAUAAAUUAAGCCAAGCUUUUCUGUUUGGAUACCAACAAAUCACCUCCCUUAUUUUAACCAACAUGUAGGAACAAACAGAACAAAAUUUCCCAAUUUCCCAUGAAGGCAUUUGCAGCAUAGCAGGUUUUAUGCAUUUAUAUACUGUACCGCAGUUGGUUCAGAUUCCCGGUUCCAAUUGGACAGAAGGCAUUGAUUAAUUUUUCAUUACAGUAUUGUCUCUCUGUGUGCUUAUUUGAAUUACAGCAGCCGUCCUAUCAUCUUAAAUUGGUGUUUUACGACACACACUGGAUGUUUUUUGUUUUUUGCACCAUUCUGUAUUAACUUUGUGCUUGAAAAUCCCAUGGCAUGCCAUGAUCAAACUUUAUUUCCAUCCUCAUGCUUGAUGUGAACAUUAAGCAAAUCUUGUGACCUGUAUCUGCACAAUUUUAUGCACUGUGCAGCUGCUACCUGAUUGGUUGACUGAAUAACUGCAUGAAUGACCAGUGGUAUGAGUGUUUCUAAUAAAGUGCUGCACUAUAAAGUCGCCAGGAGAUGUGGUUGCUAUGGUAACCCUUGCCACUAAAAUACAACAUUCUGGAGGGAGAUUGAGAUUGAGAUUGAGAGUUGAAGGAGAAACAAUGUGUGACGGUUGCCAUGGAUCACAUGACCUCUUCUGUCUUCACUCUUAACUUUUCUCAGCUCGGUCACGUGGCCGGACACACCCAUAUCUAGUCGCCAGUGUUCGCUUUCUCUUAUUCAUGAAAAUGAAUGAUCUCUGCUGCAAGUUGCUUAUGUGUGAAUGUAGCAUGAAACAGCUCUAAGAGCAUGAGACGUAUUACGAAGAAGGAUUUGCAUUAACAUGUUAUGAGUCAAUUAAAGCUUUAUCACAAUAUCAGAAUCACACACACAAGCCCCAAAUCUGUGAGUAUAUGCUGAAUCACCCACUAAACAGCAGGUUAUAAAAAAAAAAACUCAGAGAAGGUAAUAGACCUCAGUGCUCAUUUCUGUGAUGAACGACAUGCUGAGUAGAAAACAGCACUAAAGUGAGGACAUCAAUUUUCCAACAGGAAGUGAAGUGUUGCAGUGACUCAGAAAGUCCAACACACGCUGCAUCCAGCGAUCAGGGGCUAAUUGAAUCCGAUUAAACGGUCUCUGUAGAAUUACGAGCAGCAGCAUGAGCACCACAGAAAUCAUUCAUAUCCAUAAACAAUGCAUAAAUUGUGUUCUGCUAAAUGGAAUCCAGUUAAUGUCUGUUUUGCCAGACCAAAUCUACAGCCGUACAUUCAGCUGCUGCAUAAUUAGCGUUAAUUGCAAUAGCUCUUGUUCAUCGACAUUGCAUAUGGUCAAAUUGAAAUUGUAAAUGGAGUGCAUGCAAAUUCUGCUAAUUUUCUUUAAUGAUCAAGUUCAUCUUUGGCAGAUCUGUUAGACAGGGCUUCAUUGGAUGUUUGGAUAGGACAUUUUGUUCUAUAAAUGGUUUGGAUUUAUAUGAUUUUCCAUGAGCUUAAAUCUGCUUUCUUUUCUACAAAACUCAAAUGAAUAACAAUUUCUUCUUUGUUAAAUCUUGCUUGUGACUUUAUUUCUCUAUAGAUUGACUUGAAUGAAUUUAAAUACAACAGAAAUACUGAGUUAUGAGAAUAAGGAUCUGGAUAUAAUACCAGAAAAACAGUGUUCUAUAGUUUGCUGAUGACACUGUUGUAUUGGGCCUGAUCUCCAACAACGACGAGAUGGCCUACCUACAGGAGAUUAAAAACCUGGAGAGCUGGUGCCAGGUGAACAACCUACUCCUGAACAUCAGCAAGACUAAGGAGUUAAUAUUGGACUUCAGUACGAAGCAGGAGUGGUCAUACCAACCGAUCACGAUCAGUGGAACCCCAGUGGAGAGAGUGGACAGCUUCCGGUACCUAGGUGUUCACAUCAAGCAGGACUUGACUUGGUCCUGUCAUACCAACACCCUGGUGAAGAAGGCCCGGCAGCGUCUAUACCACCUGAGACGCUUUAGGAACUUUAAACUUCCCUCUCAGGUGCUAAAGACUUUUUUACAUCUGCACCAUUGAGAGCGUCCUGACGGGUAGCAUCACUUCCUGGUUCGGGAACAGCACCAUGCAGGACAGGCAAGCCCUCCAGAGAGUGGUGCGUUCAGCUGAACGUACCAUCUACACCGAGCUCCCUGACCUACAGGACAUCUACAGCAAGCGGUGCCAGAUCAGGGCCAGGAAGAUUGUGAAGGACCUCAGCCAUCCCAACAAUGGACUCUUUUCUCUGUUGCAUUAAGGGAGCUUCUUCCCGCAGGCCAUUCGGAGUCUGAACCAGGAAACACCUAGAACCUGAAACAGAUACCAGGACUCUCUCUGCUUUUCAUCACUUGCACAACCUCGCACAUUUGCACAAACUGACACUUAUUCCAGCACAUGGACACUUUAAUGAUAAACACUGGAUCACCUCAAUAUAUGCCAUAUACACAUACAUCCCAUCAUGUUCAUGUCUGCAUUUAUGUGUAUAUACCACUUUGUUUAGUAUAUAUAUAUAUAUAUAUAUCUACUUACACCUAUAUUUUCAUAUUUGUACACCUAUAUUUUCGUUUCUU